GCGUCACAGAGGAAUAUAAAGAAGAGUGGAAACGUCACGCAUUCUUGAUAAUAUACUGACUGUGACAUCUACCACUGUUUUCAUCGUCAUCAUCCUCCCUGCCUCACACGUUUGUAACGGACCAGACUGCUGACAUACUCGGUGUGCAGACUGCGAGUAAUCUCUCUUUAAAUGAUGAAGUGCCUGCUGUUGGUCCUCGUGGUGGUGGCUGUGGUGUGGACCGUCUCCGCGCAACAUUGCAUAGAAGAAUACGAAGAAUGUGUGGUGGAUGCCCAUGUCAACGUUCCAUGUUGUUCCGGGCUGACAUGCGGCUUACUUGUCCAACAUCAUGGGUCUUCGAAGAAAUACGGAAGAUGUGUACAUUAAGACAGAAAGUAGAAGAUGUGGCAGCGACGUUGUCAUCUCCUCUACACAUCCUGCAGCUAAUGAUGAUCUUAUCAUCGUAGACAAAAGUGCUUAAAGAUAAAGAGCAGAUCAAUAAAAUUUUGCUGAACCAGAAACUAUCUGAAAAAUAAAGGAUAUUUGAACGAU